UUGAAGGCCAAGUAGCGUGGGUUAUCAUAUCCGAACUGCGAGACAUGAAUCUCAAUCCAUCAAUAAGCGCUGCAUUUUGAUAAAAAAUACCCCUGCUGCGGCUGGCCUUAAUGGAUGGUGUGCCGUUGAAUGCGUCACUUUUACUCUUCCCCUGAAAUACCAGAGAGAGAAUGGGUCUCACUACACAAAGAGAUCUGGAUCAAGUGAUGACUCAUCUGUCUCCUCCCACUUGAGAAGAAGGAGAACACCUAUGCCAGUUGGAUGAAGGGUCGGAUGGAGGAGGUGGCCUGGGCCCCACUUAAAAUAUUGAGGGGCCACCCAGAAAUCCCCAAGAAAUGAUUUAGACUGUGUUGAAAAAAUAGACCGUAUAAAUAAUGGACGUAGUAUCUGUGAUGUCACCCAUCUGUUCCUGAAUGCUGUUUUGAAUUCAAUCGUCGGCGGGAGCCAUAUUGGU